AAAAAGCUUUUCAAAUCAACAUAUAUAUUUUUGCAGUCAUUUUGUGAAAUAAAUCUUGGAGUUGGGACUUAUUUACAAUGGUUGUCACUAACUUUUAAUUAUUGGUAUUUUUAGUAAUAAAUUGACUAACAAACAAAAAAUAUUCCAAAUAUAUUCUAAUCUCAUAUGUCACGCAGAUUUCUCCAAAAUUUAAACUAAAUUUCAGCAACUAUUUAAAACAAAAAAUGCUAGACAAACCAAAAUACAAUUGCAAUCCCUUAAAAAGAGCAAAACACACCUAAAUACAUUCUUUAUCUAUCCAAUCAAUCUUAUUUCUCCAAAAUUUGAACUAGAUUUUGGCAACUAUUUACAACAAAUAUUUGUUUGACAAACCAAAAUACAAUUGCAAUCCCGUAAAAUAUUUAUUUUAAUUAUAUCUUUAAUUAGCGGUGUACAGCAGUUUUUUUUUGCGGAACGGGUUUGGCAGGACGUUACUUAAUAACAAUUGUAAACUAUAAAAUAAAAAUAUU
rnacentral:sRNA from 1 species